GUGGGGAAUUUUGGACAAUGGGCGAAAGCCUGAUCCAGCAAUGCCGCGUGCAGGAUGAAGGCCCUCGGGUUGUAAACUGCUUUUGUACGGAACGAAAAGCCUGGGGCUAAUAUCCCCGGGUCAUGACGGUACCGUAAGAAUAAGCACCGGCUAACUACGUGCCAGCAGCCGCGGUAAUACGUGGGGUGCAAGCGUUAAUCGGAAUUACUGGGCGUAAAGCGUGCGCAGGCGGUUUUGUAAGACAGUGGUGAAAUCCCCGGGCUCAACCUGGGAACUGCCAUUGUGACUGCAAGGCUAGAGUGCGGCAGAGGGGGAUGGAAUUCCGCGUGUAGCAGUGAAAUGCGUAGAUAUGCGGAGGAACACCGAUGGCGAAGGCAAUCCCCUGGGCCUGCACUGACGCUCAUGCACGAAAGCGUGGGGAGCAAACAGGAUUAGAUACCCUGGUAGUCC
rnacentral:rRNA from 1 species